UACGUAGGGUGCAAGCGUUAAUCGGAAUUACUGGGCGUAAAGCGUGCGCAGGCGGUUUUGUAAGACUGUCGUGAAAGCCCCGGGCUUAACCCGGGAAUGGCAUUGGAUACUGCAGAUCUGGAGGAUCGGAGGGGGGACUGGAAUUCUUGGUGUAGCAGUGAAAUGCGUAGAUAUCAAGAGGAACACCAGUGGCGAAGGCGAGUCCCUGGACGAUACCUGACACUGAGGCACGAAAGCUAGGGGAGCAAACAGG
rnacentral:rRNA from 1 species